rnacentral:rRNA from 1 species
AAAGGCGCAAUGAAAGUGAAGGUCCGCCUUGCGCGGACCGAGGGAGGAUAGGUCGUCCCGAGGGACCUCCUCGCACUCCCGGGGCGUCUCGUUCUCAUUGCGAGAAGAGGCGCACCCAGAGCGUACACGCUGGGACCCGAAAGAUGGUGAACUAUGCCUGGUCAGGACGAAGUCAGGGGAAACCCUGAUGGAGGUCCGUAGCGAUUCUGACGUGCAAAUCGAUCGUCGGAACUGGGUAUAGGGGCGAAAGACUAAUCGAACCAUCUAGUAGCUGGUUCCCUCCGAAGUUUCCCUCAGGAUAGCUGGCGCUCGCUUCUCGCGAGUCUCAUUCGGUAAAGCGAAUGAUUAGAGGCAUUGGGGUCGAAACGGCCUCAACCUAUUCUCAAACUUUAAAUGGGUGAGAUCUCCGGCUUGCUUGAACUGUGAAGCCGCGAGAUAUCGGAUCAGAGUGCCAAGUGGGCCACUUUUGGUAAGCAGAACUGGCGCUGUGGGAUGAACCAAACGCUGAGUUAAAGCGCCUAAAUCGACGCUUAUGGGA